rnacentral:rRNA from 1 species
CCUACGGGUGGCAGCAGUGGGGAAUAUUGCACAAUGGGGGAAACCCUGAUGCAGCAACGCCGCGUGAGUGAAGAAGUAUUUCGGUAUGUAAAGCUCUAUCAGCAGAGAAGAUGAUAGACGGUACCUGACUAAAAACCCCCGGCGAACUCGGUCCCAGCAGCCGCGGUAUAACGGAGGGGCAAAGCGUUAUCCGAAUGUACUGGGGGUAAAGGGGGCGUAGGCGGGUGAGCAAGUCUGAAGUGAAAUCCCAUGGCUCAACCGUGGAACUGCUUUGGAAACUGUAUUGCUUGAGUACUGGAGAGGCAGGCGGAAUUCCUGGUGUAGGGGUAAAAUGCGUAGAGAUUAGGAGGAAUACCCGUGGCGAAGGCGGCCUGCUGGA